rnacentral:rRNA from 1 species
UGAGUUUGAUCAUGGCUCAGAAUCAACGCUGGCGGCGCGCUUAACACAUGCAAGUCGAACGAGAAAGUGGAGCAAUCCAUGAGUAAAGUGGCGUACGGGUGAGUAACACGUGGGUAAUCUACCUCUUGGUGGGGAAUAACCCUGGGAAACCGGGGCUAAUACCGCAUAAGCUCGGAAGAGGAAGCCCGAAAGGGGCCGAGAGAGGAGCCCGCGGCCGAUUAGCUAGUUGGUGAGGUAAGAGCUCACCAAGGCGAUGAUCGGUAGCCGGCCUGAGAGGGCACACGGCCACACUGGCACUGAAACACGGGCCAGACUCCUACGGGAGGCAGCAGUGGGGAAUCUUGCACAAUGGGGGCAACCCUGAUGCAGCGACGCCGCGUGAGCGAUGAAGCCCUUCGGGGUGUAAAGCUCUUUCGGCCGGAACGAUAAUGACGGUACCGGCAGAAGAAGCUGCGGCUAACUACGUGCCAGCAGCCGCGGUAAUACGUAGGCAGCGAGCGUUGUUCGGAGUUACUGGGCGUAAAGAGUGCGUAGGCGGUGCUCUAAGUUUGGUGUGAAAUCUCCCGGCUCAACUGGGAGGGUGCGCCGAAAACUGGAGUGCUCGAGUAUGGGAGAGGUAAGCGGAAUUCCUGGUGUAGCGGUGAAAUGCGUAGAUAUCAGGAGGAACACCUGCGGUGUAGACGGCUUACUGGACCAUGACUGACGCUGAGGCAAGAAAGCGUGGGGAGCAAACAGGAUUAGAUACCCUGGUAGUCCACGCCCUAAACGAUGCAUACUUGGUGUGAGCGAUUCAUUUCGUUCGUGCCGGAGGUAACGCGUUAAGUAUGCCGCCUGGGGAGUACGGUCGCAAGGA